rnacentral:lncRNA from 1 species
GGGACAUGUAAAAACUAAGCCUUUAACACUGUUUGUUUCUCCCUUGAGUAAGCCAUCUUAGUCUGUGGGCAACUUUGCAUGUGUUGUCAAGAGUGCAUGUUUCUAUUUGUCCGAAUGCUUCUGCCAGACGCAGAGGAGCCAGGCCGGAAAGGGAGCUGGCAGCCUCCAUGGCCGAGCUUGGCUCCAAAGGGAGAGCUCUUUUCUGUUUGGACUCAAAGGCUGGCCAAGACUGCUCGGAACUCCCAGACCUUAGGUGUUUACCUGGUCGCCAAGGCAACCAGGUUCCGGGCCGGUCCUGUGUUGCUCAGUCCCCUCGUGGACUUGGUGGCAGUUGGAAGCUCCUCCGAGGUCUUCUGGCUGGGGGUGUUUGCUUGCGCCCGUGUGCCGUCCCUUCUACUUGGGUGAGACCAAGUCCUUGAGCCCCUGGAGAUCAUGGCUCCUCGUCUGAGAAGAAACAGAAAAGCCAAGUGGUGGCGGCUGCUCUGUUGCUUCUCCCGCACCACAAAGGAAGAAGAGGCUCCCGAGUCCCCUCCUGCCAGUCCACCAGAGCCAACGAACGUGACCUAUGAGGUAGAAGGAAGCUCCAGCCCUCGGGAUUUCCUCGACAGCGAAGGAACUCUUGAUAAUAUCAGCAGCAUCCGCGACGAAGACUCAACCCCUACCCCCACAUCUGACAUUGCAUCGGAGCCAAGGAAGAACGUGACUUACGAUGUGGAAGAGACCUCCAGACCCUUGGAUUACCGAGACCAACAGGACACACUGGAUGAUGUGAGCAGCAUCAAGGAUGAGGAGUGGUUCCCCUCUUCCAAGUCGGCCAGGUAGGCCCUUCUCAGGUAGUGGAAAGGUCAGGGAGGGCAUCCGUUUUUGCAAGAGGUCUGUCCCAAUUUGGUCACUUCACUUAUUAGAGAGUCAAGGGGUGGAUUCUUAAGGAACAAUAAGCCAAGCCCUCCACCUUGUUGUGGAUGAGCAUCCUGCUGGUGCCCUUUGUUCAGCUCCUCUCACUUGAAGCGUUACCUGGGUCUGCUGGGUGUUCUGGCACCAAGACGCUCCGCUCCCCCCUCCCCAUGUUUGUUCCCUUCUGGUCAGUGGAGAAAAACUCCACGGUUUGUCCUUGGGUUCCUUCUCCACUCUGUUGAGAGGGAACCAACCAGAAAAGGAAUCUGUCCGCUGGCAGAGGACACAAGAAAAAAAAAUUAGAGAGAAACCCCUGCUUUCUUUGAUUGCUCCUUCAGACAGUGGUAAUCAAGAAGGCUCAUGCAUCAUCACAGUAAUCUUAUACAAUAAGAGGCAAUAACCCUGUCGGUCUGGUGUCUAACUUGUUGUGUUGUCUGAAGUCUCCCAGUAUUUCCUUGAUUCUCAUGGUAAAAUUAGAUCUUGGCCUGGGACAGAAUACAUUGUCUCUUUAAGGACGGAACAAAAUAUAUGCUCUCUGUUGUCUUCCUGGCAUGUUUCUCCGUUUCGGGGGGAUCUGGGUGCUCACACUUUCAUAGUUGUGUCUGGCACAGCAAGGCUCCUCCUCUGCUUUUAUUUUCUGACCCAUCAAUUCCCUCU